UCAAACUAGUUAAGAAGGUAGCAGUAUGUCUCAUAAAGGGUUCUGGACAUUGUCUGAUUUCUGCCAUAAGCAAAAUACUGACAAGUCCUGCUUUGUUUUGCUGCUUUUUCAGGUGGCAAAAAGCUAGACAUACAUUCAUUAUAUUGUAAAAUCACAACCUUCGAGAUCUUGCUGAAUCUGCCCUACAGCUAUUUAUCACAUGAUUGCAGGGAAUGAAAAUAACAUUUUUCCUUCUACUAGGAAUAUGUUGCUAACCUUGAGGCAAGAUAGUGCAUAAUUUUAUGUGUGCCUAGUCUUGCUGUUAUAUAUAGACUAUUUUGAGAUGAAUCAGUGUUAUCAUUUCCCAGAAUUUAGCACCAGUGUUUUAGCAGAGCCAAGGAGAUUUCAUAUACUUAGGCUCUUGGCUGCGACAGUGACCAGGGAUCCCAAGUCUGAGUCACAUUUACAUUAAUGCCAUUUUAUAGCGAUGGAAAAAGGCCAAGAAAAUGCUAAUAUCAUUUACUCCCAAGUUAAGGGAUUUUUUUGUUGAGGUUAGAGCUGCAUGUAGUAAUGUCUGUGUAAAAGCUAUCUGAGCCCAAUUCUGAUUUCACAUCCAUUAAUUUUAUAUUUGUGAAAUUACAGCUAUUUCACUGAUGUUUUUGCUUGUAAUCAAGAGUUUGAUCUGUCUCCUCAUGUCUGUGCAAUAAUCCCUCUUUCUUCCUCCCACAACCAACAGUCUGCAGGAGACUCAGAAAUCUCUAAGACUCUUUUAUUCUUUCCCGUGGCACCCAUCAUUCUCUUGUGGCUUCUUGAGUAAUCUCUGGUUUUUAAUAUGAAGCAUUAAUUCACUUUAAAUAUAGCAAGAAUUAGGAAAACUGGGGCUCAGUCCCUCUCCACAAUUACAAGUUUAACCAUCGAGUUGCCUGUCAGAUGCUUUUAGAAGCGUAGCUCUACUAUAGCUGUGUACCUAAUAUGUAGCUCUGACUUCUUGGUUUAGUUUGAUCGUAGGGUGACCUGCAGUGAGCAGUUUUAAGCCCAUUGAAACAGUUUUUGAUACUACAUGGACACUUUCUGUCAUGGCCCACUUUUGAGCUACUUAUGUGUUUAGACAGCAUUUUUUAGGUAUUGUCUAAAGUUAAAUAUUUCCAGAAUGCAGUUUCAAUGUAAAAUUUUUCAAUGUAAAUUGAGUUUCAGUUUUUAAUAUUUGUGAUACUUUAACAUUUUAAGAACAGCAGGAAAGCAUUAAAUUUAUAGGAAAAAAAAUUGAGGGUGACAGACUACAUCCAUUUAAUAGGAACUUGUACAGUAAUGAGAUAGAUGUCAUUAUUUUCUAAGCACAAGGGACAAAGAAUCACAUUUUUAGUCCAUGCAUCUGUGGUAUUUUAAGGUAGUUUAACACAACUGUGAGAUGCAUUAUACUCAAUCCCAGCCUACUGGAGCUUCAGAUUAUGCUGUUGCAACUUGCUGUGUGAAUUUUCUUUAGGGGAUCUCUAGCUGAUUAAAGCUUAAUAAAAAAAAAAAAAAAAACACAACAAAAAACAUCAGAAAGGAAGAAGUUUGCUUUUACUCUUUUCUGGAUUGGGUUAUCUGUCCCAAAAUAUAGGUAUGAAAGCAGCAGUCCACUUUUGCAGACUUAGUUGAGGCCAAAAUAUUGUGAUAAAUUCCGCAGAACAUACUCGGGCACAAUGCCCAUUUGUUUUAUUGAGAAUUUUGCCUGAUAAAGACCUAUUUCCCCUUAUCUCUGAGUUUCUUGGACAAACUGUGUUGACUCUGAUCCAGUAAAGUAGAGCAAGCUUCUUAAUCUGGCACAUUAAAUAAAAGCUCAGCUGGGAAAGGAAUGCAGUAUUUUGUCUUUGCAUUUCAAUUGAGUUGAAACUUCUUAUUUUAAGCUUAGGCUGUGAGAAUCAUCUCCAAGCAAUGUAACAUCAUUUGCAAAGUCAGGUGAUAGGUGCGUGGACUGGAUGCAAGUGGAUGAUGGGACACAUCUUUACGAUCAAUAGAAACGAAAAUAAAUAAAUGCAAAGUUCAAGCUUCCUUAUUCAGUUUUUUCAAGCAACUCGGUUCUGACUUGCAGCACCCCUGCUGUUUCAAGUCGUGGACGUUUCUUUUAACACAGGCAGCGUAUUAUGCUAAUCUGCAUGCUGGGCAAAAGCCCAGUUGAGAGUAACUGAAAGUCUAAAAGAAGUUUCACUUUUGACCACAUCCCUGAUUUGAACCGAGAUUGCUAAUGUAGAAAGGCUUGCUACCUCUAGAGGUGUGGAGAGGGUCUUGCACCUCUUCCUUAAAACUCUGGUUUCCUUUUUUCCUCUCAUUUUGUUUCCUUUUCUCUGGGGAAAUUACUCCUAUUUUUUUCCAGUGUAAUAACCAAAAGAGUUGCACUUUGUAUUUCUAAAACAAACCAGCAAUUUUUUUCCACAUGUACUGAGACUUCAAUCUCUGCCAAAAAUCUGAAAAGAAAUCACCAACUGUUCUGUAACUCUUUAAGCAAUUACCAUUGAAUACACACACUAUGGUUCAAAAUGCAAUAAAUACAUAAAACUUCAGCAAGGAAAAUCUAGCACAGAUCAUAAACAAGUAACUGAUGCAAGUACUAACAUAUUUUUUGAUGUUAAUAAAUAUAAAUUAUGAAAUAUAAGUACAUUGUCAGUGAUCCCAUGAAUGAUUUAGUGUAUUGUCUUACCACAUGGUGAAUGAGGUGAGGCUGCAUGUACACUAGGUGCUUGUAACCUAAUUUAUCUCCCAGGAAUACUGAAAAUACUCAGUUUAAUAUACAGAUGUAUUUGUUAAGAAGCUUACCAAAACAAUAUGGUGGGCUUAGACUAAGAUCAUACCAGAAGGUCCAUCCUUCAGUUCUCUGAAUCAUAAGAAGAAACAGAUUGUGUCAAAUGGAAAGUGAGAAAUGAAGUAAUCUAACCAAUCUGCACUUUGGCAGAGUUGUUGUAGGCUGGCUGAGGUUUCUUGCCUAUUCCCAGUUAAUGUAGGUAUUUGACACGAUGCUGAAGAGCUGACCAUUUUAAUUGUGAAUAUGGUUUCCUGGAAAGCAAAGUCUUGAUAGUCUCAGGGGUGUUUUUAUCAGUGACCUAGUCACACAGUGCUCCUCAGGGUCAACCAUCAGGGUGAACCUACUUGAACUCUUGUUUGGGAACUGCAGUAUUUAAGAGAGCCCAGAAAAAAAUAGAUACUUGCUUCCUUCACAGUUUUUAUUGCUUUUUCUGAAGCCUUCUGUCCAUGAUUCCUGUUGUUCUUUGAAUUCCGUGCAGGUUUUUUUAUGGGGCUUGGGAACUGUCACUUUUUAGACAUCUACUGAUGAAAGUUUUGUGACUCCUGCUCUUUUUUGCUGAGGCUGCAUACUUAGUUUUUCCAUCUCUUUAAGGUGCUUUGGCUUCUCAUCCUAUUGCCUAACCAAAGGUAAUAAGAGUAUUCUUACCACUUCCUCUCUCUUGCUCAGACAGCAGACUUAAUGUUUUUCACCUUUAUUUCACAGGAGAAUGAGCAAGUAUUCCCAUAAAGUAUCCAUUAUUUGUUAGGAAGUGAAUCAUACGUCUGUUGCAUGUUACUGGCUUGUGCUGUUGUAGGAGCAGUUAGUAUUAACUAUGUAGGCUUAAUUAGCAUAUUUGGAAUCUUAAACUAUAAAGCUUUCCUAUUUCCUAAAACAAUCCUUUUAAUUCUGUAUAAAUAAGAGCUAUUUCAAACAAAACAGGCAAAAUAUGAAAAUAUAAAAAAAAAAUAUCCCAUAUAUAUAUACAUAUGGGAUAUAAUGUUGCAUCACUCCUAAAGACAGUAAUUUUUAAAAUUUGUUUAUAUAAUUUAGAUAAAUUUUGAAGUGUUUUACAAUAGAGAAAUAUCAUUAUUGCUAUUUCAGUGGAGGGCAAAGUGAGAUACAUACAAACAACAUCUUAAAGGUGACACUUCUUUUCAAAGCCAAAAAAAAAUCUGGAUUAAAGACUAUGUACAUUAGAUGCAGUGACCCUUAUGCAGUGACCCUUAUGCAGAAUAAUUCUUGAAUUAGAUAUAAAAUGUUGAUGUUUUCAGUUUUAGAAAGCUGAGAAUGCCAGCACAACAUCAACAGUUAUUUGCAUAGUAUUGUCAGGGACAACUGUUCUGGAGACAAUUCAGUGAAUCAGAGCUGUUUGAUUAAUCAAAUCAAGUCUCUGUUGUAGCAAUGCAAAGAGGUUAUGUCUGCUGGCAAUCUGAUUUGAAAUCAAAUGUUUAUGGAUUAAUGAACACAAGACAAUUGCUUCUAAGCCUCUUUUCAAGCAAAAUCUUAGGUCUUUAGAAAUGUGGAUAAGUAGGGAAUGAUUAGCCGGGUCUGACAGCACAAGUGAGAAUUUAUCCCCUCAAACAUACACUCUUUACAAUUAAAGAAAAUCCAAGCAAUUAAAAGCAGCCAAAAUAAAGCAAAGAACAAAAUUUACAAGUUGUGUUUGUUAUUUUAUUUGCAUACGCUAAUGUAAGCAAAUUAUAAUCUCAGUUACAUUAUGUUCUAAUUGAAUGAUAAACUUAACAGAGCUUUGUCAUUUCCUAUCAACUGAGAAUCUAUCUCACAACCAGGUUUUUAAAAAGCAGUCCAGGCCUCAUGUUCAAAUGACCCUUGCACUUUAAUGUAUUGAAAAAAAAAUCAUUCUUUCCUUCUUAGCAGUUGUUGUUCAUUACAUUGUCUUUAAAAACUGUGAAUAAUGUGCAUAUUAUAAAGGGAAAUGUGUAAUCCAUUUGAGCAUAAUAGAAAGUUCUUCUGCUUUUAUAGGAAUUGACUCAGAAAUAAUUCAGGUACAAUUUUGUGUUCCCUUUGGUCUCUUUCUUCUCCAAGAAGGCGCUCUGCUUUGGUGUGAUACUAAAUUAGUUAUAUCUAAAUGCCACCUUCAUUUCUGCCCCCACUGAGCUUAACAGUUAAUUUUCCAGGCUAGAAUAAAGAAAUCCUUGCUUUCAUUUUUUAUCCCAUCCCCAUGGUGCAGUAGACCAAUAAGAAGCAUAUAGUUCUUACCGAGUUAAGAGAAUAGGAGCCCUUCUCUGAAGAAAAUUGGCUGGUUUUCACUCACUACAUAAAAAAUCAUCAAUUAAAAAUGGAAACAGCUGGAAAUGAACAUCUUCCCCUUGUCAAAGGUGAAUAUUAAACUGCUCUUUGAUUUGACUUUCCCUUUAUUUGUUUUAAGAUGUUCGUUGUUAUUUUACAAUGACUCAUUUGGUAAGGUAACAGUGAUAGCGUUACCUGCUUGGCCUUCUUUGGUGGAAACUGAUUAUGCUUAGCAUUUGAUUUACAAUUAGCUGCACUGGCUAUUCUGCACAAGAUAACUGAAUCUUAAAUUCAUAGGGGGAUGAAAUUUUUAUCAGAACAGUUUAGAGUUAGCAAAAGACUUCCUUUAAAAUAUGUGGGAAUUUUUCAAUAGACACUAAGUGCUUUUGGAAAGCCUUCUCUUUGGCCUCAUGUUAGACUCAUGAAGAUCACAGAGCUAAAUCCAAAGGGUGUUGUCUGCUGCUUCACCUAAAAAGUCAUCUGCUUUGGAGAUUAGAACGCUUUGAAUGGAAACAUUAGCAAUGGCAGUAGUCAAUCUGAAAAAGAAAUGAGCAAGACGUCAGCCACACUGUCUUAAAACUCUAACAAGUAGGUGCUGUUUUGUGCUAAGAGAAAUUCUCCAUGAACUGGCUAUUUUUAUCAAGAUUCAUACUACACAUCAUCUCAAAGUUGUUAUUGUUUUAGUGUGUAAUAGUGACUGCACCUCACAUUUUUUAACUCCUUUCUUUAGUUCUAUUAAUAUUAUUUUUUUUUUAGUUUUAGUUAGCUUAGUUAGGCAUAAAAAUAAAUCAAGCAAGGAGAGUAUGAUAUCACUUAUCGUGUCACCUUGUCACUACGCAUGUGCAUGUGUAGAUAUGUGUACAUACAUGCAUGUGCAUGUAUGUACAGGAUUAUAUAUACUAAUUAGUAUACUGAGGAUUCUGCCUUAAAGGAAAGACACAAUGCUGACCCAAAGUACUUUAUUUAUGUUGCCUAAAGAACAUGCACUGUUACAUAGUUAAAGAGUCAUAGGAAGGAAGUUCAAAAUAAUUUUCAACACCUGCAGAAAGACCAACACUGCUUCUCUUGUGACUAACCCAAAAUUGCUUUACGUUUUCAAGUUGAGAAGUGAACCAAGUCCUCAGGUAGUGCUGGACAAUCUCUUUGUUUAUGAAAACAGCUGAGGAUCUGAUUUAAUGACAUUUGAAGAUUCAUUUUACAGAGUAAAAUCAGAUGCCAGACACUCCAAUGAACUGUCUGAAAAUCUAGUGCAAUUGCAGUCCUAAUCAAUGUGAAGUUUAUCCCAGGCACCUAUGGCAUACAUAUAUCAGAGGUGAAUAUAUGCUGUAGAGAAGCCUUUAGACAAAAGCACUGACAGAAGGCAGAAGGGAUGAACAGUUUGUAACUGCCAGGCUCCUUAGCAGGCAGUUCCCUGACUGUAUCCCUGCUGCUUACAGCGUAAAUGAGAAUUAAAACAGCUAGGGAUGUCAUUAAGACGUUAGCUAGCAUGUGAAGGGAAAGAGUUUCUAACUGGAAGAGAUCAUGAGGUACCUCCAUAUGAGUACUUCGUACUCCAUUUGGGUUUACUUGCAUUUGAGUAUUUGUUUAUUGAUUUGGAAUUCUUCAGGAUUGGAACCACGUGAAUCCUUCCUCCUGUAGAAGCCGAGCAGAUAUUUUCUUCCAACUUUCAGUCAGGGAAACACAGUGCUGGUUUGGAGAGCGAGCUGUCAGAUACCACGAUUUCCACGUGUAGAGGUGUAGUACCAUUGCAUUGUGCUAGAAGAUAAACUCCUUGUCAGGAGCAUGGCUCAUGCGGUCGGUCAUGGCAUGGUUGGGUACUUCCUAUACUGAUGAGAUGGCCUGUCCUGAACAUCUCCGUAAGCAAAAUCCAUGUCUAAAUGUAGUUAGGGCUAAUGUAAGGAGCAGUGCAGACUGGUGUGACUUGUUUUGAAGAACACGGUAUCUGCUACUACUGGUAUAACUUCAAGAGAGCUGCUAGGGUCAGAAUUUGACAGCCAAACCUUCUAUUCCAGUCAGAUUUCUCUAUCAGAUAUUGAAUGUAUAUUGUUGCUCAGCAUGCAUUAAGAUCUCUUAAACUAAUUGCAUUUGAGCCUUUUAUUUUCAUAUAGGAAAUUGCAUUUUGCUAAGUGUUUUACUGUAAGAGUAUCCUGCUGUUUUAAAGAGUGUUGCAAGGACACAUGGCUGGUAUUACUGGCGUUUCUGAUUAUAUUUAGUAUCAUAAAUGUUGAAGUUUGACAGUGAAAUCUCAAGUAUUUUUUAAACUAGUCCUAGAAAAUAAUUCCAGUUUGCCUUCGGUAAAUAAUGUGUUAAGUUUGGGUUAGGCUUCAGUAGUCACAUCAACCUUAAAUAUGAUUCAUCUGCACAGAUUUUUUCCACGUUAUGCUCUGUGUACAUCAAAAGAAACAAAACUAGCUCAGUGAUCUGGAGGUAGUAUGAACUACACCCAUGGGUGAGUAGAAUUGAUUCAUGCUACAGUAUGCUGAGAAACCUAAGUGGUUUGUGGUGAGCAUGUAGAUCAUGUAGUCAUGUAACCGCACUCAUGAAUGCUAUUCUAGCAGAAAGGAUGAGAUCUUGCUGGACUUCUGAAGGAUGAGAGAGUAGUGAACAUACAACACUUCCAAAAGACAAGUCAGCUCUUAGAAAUAAAAUGUUUCAACAUGAGAUAACUAAGAAGAUGUUUAUUUUAAGUUUUCCUCUAUGUUGUGGUUGACUGUGAAGCUUUUUAUUAUUUUUUGUGAUUUAUUUGCUUAUUUAUUUCCUUAUUUAUUUUCUUUCAGAAUUAAAAUCUAAAUAUUUAUUCAGGUUUUUUGGUUUUUUUGCGUUGUUUUUUUUUAAAUUAAAGAUUGCGGUUCGAUAUGUCACUGAAUACAGACCCUAGUACAACUAAUAAGCAAACGGCUUCACUAGACUAUCAGUCACAAAUUCUGGCUAGAAGCUUUUAGCUGUUACUUUUUCAUGUCAGUAGUAUUAAAAACCAGGGUUUACAGGUUUAAAUUAAUCAAGCUAAUGAAAGGUUGGGUUUCUGUUUGCUUGUUUGUUUUCCUGAAAAAUAGAUGAAUUUGACUUCUGUGUAUAGGGGAAAAAAAGAUACACAUACUUGAUUUGGGAUAGAAACCCUGUGACUUUGUGCAUGUGCGUGUGUAUGAGAAAAAGAGGAGAUCCAGACAGAUUACUUCAGCAGUGUAAAAAUGCUGAAUUAAAAAAAGAAAUGCUGGUGUUUAGAGAGGCUCGUAUUUAACGAGAGCAGUCCUGGAAAGGAAUACUCCCAGUAAUCUCUCUUUAACAGACUCAAGUGGAAGAAAGCCAAGUUGUUCAGUUGCUCAAUAGGUUCCAAUCAUGUGGGAGAGUUCCCAGUUGGGAGCUGAAAACUGAAAACCUGACACGCAUAAGUGAAUGAAGCUACCCUAUGUGAUGUGUUGAUUUAAGGUUUUUUUCCACCUCCUUAAAAAUACAGCUGGGCUUCUGCCUUUGUCUGAGUACUGAAGAGGCGAUACUUUGUGAGACACAAAAUUAGUUUAAAAUUGACAUUUUGGAUGUUGGUGAUAAUUUAUCCUGACGUUAUGCCUAUUGGUUGUGAUUGUGACAAGCAGGCUCGAUCCAAGCGGGCACUGUAAGAGCCAAAUUUAAUAGAUGACCAUUGUAAUUUUCUGCCUUGCGGACAGCAGAGACUUUCCAGCCUUCCUUCACCACAACAAUCAGGGAUUACUAAGUAACAAGUCCACAGGACUGGGGGAGGAUUGAAAGGAUUAAUGGAGUAUGACAAAAUUGCACCUGAGGGGGAAAAUCUGUAGCAGUUUUUUGUAUGGUGAUGUGGUAGAUCAGGCAAAUUGGCAAUUGCUACUGAUCUUUACACAUGCAUGUCUUCAAAUAAAGUGUGUGAAAGUCAAGCAAAUGCAACUAUGUGGCUAAGGCUGUCAUAAACAUUUAUGUCAUCAGCUGCAUAAAUCACUUAAUACUAUCGUUUUAAGUAUUUCGAUGAUCAACUAUGUUAAGCAUCAGUGGAUUGUAGGCACUGUACUAAAUCAUUUUUUUACUCUGCUAUAACCUCUUAUCCUGCUAAACUAAAUCCUAAAAAAGAUUAAAAAUGUAGGGUUAGUCCAACCCUUCUCUUCAAAGAUAAUUAAGGAAUACAGUUCCUGUUUGGGAGUAGUGUUCCAGCUUUAGAACUUAAAUAUAUAUUUUUAUGUAUGUAUAUAUAAAUUGGUUUGCAGUCUGCAUUCAUGUGCUGACCUGAUGUUAAAUAAACACUCUCUAUCCCUUUGACAAAUACUCAUUUCAAAACAACAAUAGCAGUCUUAGUCCCAAGUUCUUAUGGGAUAUUAAUGUAUUUUUAAUAAACUGUUUACCACUGUGAAACAUCAGAAGUUUGUUAACAGAUACUUGGUUUAUUUUCACACUGGUUUAAACCAAGAAUCCCACUACUGAUGGCAGUGGAAUUGCAUGAAAUAUAGAAAAAAAGCGAGAAGCAAGAACAGAGCUAUUCAGCUUUAUUUUUAAAACUCUUAACUUCUCUUUGUAAAGUAACUUAUUUAUUAAACGUUGUUUAUUACCGCUCUAAGAAAAAUCUGAGCUUGGGAGUAUUGUUUGACUUAAAUGGAAGCUUUAGAUUUGUGUUGUGUUCAUGAUAACUGAACUUAGCCUUUAGAGCACGAUACUUUUCCUUUCUUCCCCCUUUGAUAUAACCACUUAGUCAUUAGGGAAGAUAGCAGCUGGUGCAAACAGUAAAACUUUUAUCUCUGUAGAUCUACACAAGAGAGGGAGAAUUACAGAAGAAAAAUCACAAACACGUUUAUAAGUUGCUGUCUGAGGUCAUCUCUCAUGUAUUGUGAAUUGUUUAAGGAAACACUUCUUCGGCAGCGUUGACUGAAGGUCAUGUUGUUAUUUAGACUUUUUACUAGUGGAACAGCAAACGAUUCAUUAAUUCCAUUAGCCAUCCUUUCUGCACACUGGGAAAAGCAAAUGUAAUUGUCAACUAUUCCUACUGUAUACUUAAGCUGUCAAGGAUCCUGGAAGGCUUCAGUUAUCCUCUUUGCAGAUAUCAAAGGAAGGGGUGGGCUAUUUUGUGUUUUUAAAACAGAAAUAGGGAAAAAAUGUGCCACUUAAUGUAAGCGAAAAGAUUUCUUUUUAACCUAAAGUGACACUCUAGUACAGAAACACUGGGCAGUUUUCUGACUGGUAAAGCUUCUGGUUAUUAUUUUUUUAAAAAAAGAAAUCUUAAAGUACAGCCUGUCAGCAUGCCAUUAGUGUUGUCUCUAAGCCUGUCUUGUCUCCAGGAGCCAUGCCAGGGACUUCUCAUUUCCCUUCCCUUUGGGUUCCCAAGGCAAUUCAUAGGUCUCACCCUGUGUGCUGCUGCGCGUGGUGGACAGGCGAGUGUAGCAUGACUGAAGUUGGUGGGCAUGCUGCACUCUUCUUGCAUGGAUAUUAGGCAAAAUCGGGGCACAUAUUUUUAUAGCUUUUCACCAUGAAGCGUCUGGUGGGUUAGUGGACAGCGAAAGUGAAAAACAUCAUGUGAAUCUGCAAAAUUAUUUGCAGUUUUCCUGCUGUUAAUGGGGAUGACAGCUGAAAGCCUAGUCUACUACAUUUAGCCUGAAAAAGCAAAAAGAGGUUCCAGGCUUAGCAGCCCAGCCAACAGUGGGUUACAUCUGAACUGGGGUGUCUGCCCUCUAAGUGAUCACUGCUAUUAGGUAGUGUUUUGCAGAGAGUAAGUCAACUUUUUCUCCAUAGAAGAGAGUUAUAUUGAAAAGACAGUGAGGCUCAUUUUAACUACAGCGAAGUAGUCCAGGAAAAGUAGGUAAGCAAAUCCACAAAGGGUAGAUUUUUGUCCACCCUACCCAUGUUCUUAAAAGAGAUAGUGUGCUCUCUUCUGCAGAUCUUAAUGUCCUAGACAUCCUUGGUCACGGUUAAAAAUCCACCGUGGGUUACUACACGUUUCAACAUAUUCCUUUUAUUUUGGCAAUAAUGAAUGCAAAGCUGUCUUGUCCUUUGCAAUGCUUUGAGCUGUUCAGAUAACACGUUGCAGAGCGGUUGGACACAAAUCACAUAACCCUACUGUGCUCUGUUUGAAAGGAAAGUACAACUUUUAAUUCAUUAUUGGCUAACUAAUUUUCUGGUAUGCUUUUCCCACAGUUUUGAGUGACAGUCCCACACCCCCAGUACAUGGUUUGUUUGAUUGUGGUGCAGAGAACUUGACUUUCUCUUUAAAGAUGUAAUUUUACAUCCUGAUUGUAAAAUAAUUAAUAAUUUGGUGCUCACUCUUCGAUCCUGAAAAAGGAAACACGUUUUGCAUACUUCUCAAGACAUAACUUUGUCACUGUGUGAUGAUCUUUCUUUAAAACAUUAAAAACUGUGGAAAAGGAGGUCCAUCUGUUAGGGAAAGUUUCGCUCUGUGUGUGAUAUAGUGUAAUGAGUAAUCAUAAAUGUAAAACACUUGAUGUGACGAUUUCCUAUAUAAUGAUUAUGCAGUAGUUAGUAGCCACAGUAUACUAUAUUACUCCUGUUAUGUAUUUUGGAGGUGGACACUAUGGAAUCAUAGUAUGGUUUAACUUGUAUAAGUAGUAUCAGUCCAUCUGAGGGAUACUCCUCCCCCAGGUUGAGAAUUAUGAAUUUACAGUGUUGAUUUUUUGAAUCUUAUGAGCCGCUACAGAGUGGAAAAUAUUUAAGGAUAGCAGUGUAUGUACUUCUAUAUGUUACUGAGUGUUAAAAUAAGCAAUCAAAUGAUUGUUAAAUAAACUAAUAUAUAUAUAAUGCAUUAUAUUUAUGCAAAGAAUAGCUGCAAAAAUCAGGCAAAGUAUUUCACUUUUAUUGUAGUAAUAGGCACCAUUGCUAUGUAUUUAUCUAUGCAUAGUUUAGGAGAGAAGAAGAUGCUGUCAAUGAUUCUGUAAUAUUUUCUUCAUUGUAGUGGCCAUUGAGUUGAAUAAGAAUUCACUGAUAUGUAUAGUAAUGAAUCUUUAAAACUAUCAUUUCUAAUCAGUGUUGAACAGUGCAAACAAACAGGUGUCCUUUAAAAAAUGGACCUUUGUACACUUUGAGUAAAGAACUACCUUUAAAGGAUAUAAAGUAGUUGUACAUUCAAAAUGUAUUAAAUUCCAUUUUUCCUUUGCUAUAUUUUGUAAAACAUUUUCAUUGUAAACAGUAUGCCUCUCACACAUGUCAAAUCAAAACUCUUUAUUUUACAAAUAUAUACCUAAUGUAAUUGGAAGCUUAUUGCACUCUCAUGCAAUGUAUAUAUUGUGACUUCAAAAAGUCUGUACUGAACUUUGCUUAAACUACUAGUAUGUGGAUUUCUUUCAAAUUUAUUUUUAAUUAAUGAUAUUAAGGAUAAGAUCCUUUCUAAAUGUACUUUAAAGUUCACAAUAAAGUUUCAGAAGUUGUUUUGUACAA